rnacentral:rRNA from 1 species
UACGAACGGGGCGAGCGUUGUUCGGAAUUACUGGGCGUAAAGGGCGCGUAGGCGGCGACCCAAGUCAGAUGUGAAAGUCCUGGGCUUAACCUGGGGACUGCAUUUGAUACUGGGUUGCUUGAAUUCGGGAGAGGAUAGCGGAAUUCCCAGUGUAGAGGUGAAAUUCGUAGAUAUUGGGAAGAACACCGGUGGCGAAGGCGGCUAUCUGGACCGACAUUGACGCUGAGGAGCGAAAGCGUGGGGAGCAAACAGG